rnacentral:rRNA from 1 species
AACGUAGGAGACAAACGUUAUCCGGAGUUACUGGGCGUAAAGGGCGUGUAGGUGGUUUCGUAAGUCUGGCGUGAAAUUUUUCGGCUUAACCGGGAAAGGUCGUCGGAUACUGCAGAACUAGAGGACGGUAGAGGCGUGUGGAAUUCCGGGUGUAGUGGUGAAAUGCGUAGAGAUCCGGAGGAACACCAGUGGCGAAGGCGACGCGCUGGGCCGUACCUGACACUGAUGCGCGACAGCAUGGGGAGCAAACAGG